CGUGCCGGGCGACUUCGCAGUCCUGGCCGCUGGGCGGGGCCGCACUGUGCUUUCACGGGGCCUGCGGCCAGGGAGGGGCGGGGAGAUGUUAACCGAGAGUCCUAGGAACGCAGCAAACACGCGGCUGCGCUGGGGGAGGAAGUGGGACGCCAGGAUUGUGAGAGCAAUGAUUCUCAACACUGGCAACAUAGUUACUGGACCACCUUUAAACAAAAGCAGUUCUCAAAUGCUGGUGCUGCUGGUUCAAGAGCUGUACUUUGAGGACCAUUGAAAAGAUAUCAGAUGAAGUGAGUCAUUUACUUCAGAAAGCCUGGUUCAAAUGGAGUGGCCUUUCCUUCAUCCUCUACAGCAUCAUACUCAACGUUCUAUCCCGGCAUUUCCUGCACUUUGCACUCUAGGCUGCCAAGGACCACAUUCGAUUCGAUUUGAUUUGUGAAGCCUCUCACAUAUAGCAAGUGUGUUGCAGGAAAAACAGCCCCAACGACUGUGCCCAGUUUCUAAACUUGGAAUUGUCCUCCGUGGAACUGAGCAGGCCUCACACACAUCGAGAAUGAUCUCGUGGUGUUGGAACUUCUGGAAACCUGGCGUGGAAUUUUCUUUUUAGAUUCGAGACCCACGUAAGAAAGACGUGCAAUUAGUAGGCAAAUACGGGAAAAUGUUCACCUCAUUAGCAAUCCAAGAUACACAAAUAAAAGCAGGCAUAGUGUAGCCUUACUAGUUUGGACUCACUUCUGGCGCUGGCGGCUGUGCCGUUCCUUGUACUCUGAAAACAUUGCUGUUGGUAGCCCAACUGGGACAAUCCCGACAGAAAAACAAUUUGGCCACGCACUUUCAGAACCACAACAUAUCCUGGCUCUGUUUUUUCUGGAAUCUCAUUUGAAAUCCGUAAAAUAAAAUAAAAACCUACAUACAUGAAGGUUUUACUUGAAG